GACGAACGCUGGCGGCGUGCUUAACACAUGCAAGUCGAACGGAAAGGCCCUGCUUUUGUGGGGUGCUCGAGUGGCGAACGGGUGAGUAACACGUGAGUAACCUGCCCUUGACUUUGGGAUAACUUCAGGAAACUGGGGCUAAUACCGGAUAGGAGCUCCUGCUGCAUGGUGGUGGUUGGAAAGUUUCGGCGGUUGGGGAUGGACUCGCGGCUUAUCAGCUUGUUGGUGGGGUAGUGGCUUACCAAGGCUUUGACGGGUAGCCGGCCUGAGAGGGUGAACGGCGACAUUGGGACUGAGAUACGGACCAGUAUCCUACGGGAGGCAGCAGUGGGGAAUAUUGCACAAUGGGCGGAAGCCUGAUGCAGCAACGCCGCGUGCGGGAUGACGGCCUUCGGGGUGUAAACCGCUUUCGACUGUGACGAAGCGUGAGUGACGGUAAUUGGUAAAGAAGCACCGGCUAACUACGUG
rnacentral:rRNA from 1 species